UACGUAGGGUGCGAGCGUUGUCCGGAUUUAUUGGGCGUAAAGAGCUCGUAGGCGGUUUGUCGCGUCGGCCGUGAAAUCUCCACGCUUAACGUGGAGCGUGCGGUCGAUACGGGCAGACUUGAGUUCGGUAGGGGAGACUGGAAUUCCAGGUGUAGCGGUGAAAUGCGUAGAUAUCUGGAGGAAUACCGGUGGCGAAGGCGGCAUCCUGGACCGACAUUGACGCUGAUGAGCGAAAGCUAGGGGAGCAAACGGG
rnacentral:rRNA from 1 species